AGAAAGCAGUCCUCGAGGCAUGGCAAAGUAGGAGCCCUCCAUGGCAGUGCUUGAGUGUCGGGGCUCUGAGUCUCCGGCCUGACCUCUCCACGUGGUCGACGGGAACGUCCCCAGAUGCCAGGAUUCGCAAAGGGCUGACCAGGAUGGCGAAACCUUAGGCAGAGUCCGGGGAAAGCAGCACGGCAUCCCAGCCUCAGGCCUGCCCGGACGGUGUUGGUUGGGGUAAGAUUGGGGAAGAUGCCAGGUGAUAGAAUCCACCCUGCCUCUGACAGCAUCCAAUCUGGAGCAAAGGCUUAUUUCAACCCUCCCCCAAGCUCCCAAUACAAGCCCAAAUUCUGGAACAGGUCCUUUCCAACACCUCCUUCAGAGAAGCUCCCUGGCUCCAGGCAGUGCUUGCUCCCCUCACUGCAGCAGGAAGCCUAACUUGCGAACUGCAGGUGUGCUCCAGGUGGUCACUGGAUGCAAGGCAUUGACAGAUGGAUCCCAUCGAUACCCCCACUGCAAAACCAUAGUGCAGUGAAUAGAAGACACUUCUCUGCACCCCAAAAGCUCCAUGCUGAUUGUGAGAAGGAAAUGCUGGAUGGAGGGGUUCCUGGAACUACUGUGAGGGAUGAUACUCCAAAUUGAUACUUAAUAUACAGAAAUGACUAUCAUGGACAUAACCCACAACAUGUGAAAUGUAUGGCUCAUUCUACUGACAUUAUACAGGAAAGUUAAUGACAACUGAAUUUCUAGUCAUUUUCCACCCAACAAGUUGCUUAUAAAAUGUCAAGGAAUUGUAGUUUCUUUUGAUUUCUCCUGCUUAGAAAUGGUGAGAGAACUUUGGAUGUGGAACGUGGAGGAGGAGGAACACGAAGUGGGGAUCUCCACUUGGGGUGGUCAGCACUGCGGGUGCCCAGCAAAGUCACUGCCUGGUCCACAUCCCGGAGGGGUCUCUGCGCCUCAGUCGGCAUCGCAGCUGAUGGUGAAACUUUUGGUGUGGCAGAAGAGUGUCCACAAACUUCGGAAGAUCGCUGCUCAGAGUGAGGAAUGGAGUUGUGUUUUGAAUAAAAUAUCCACGCAUCCUUUUGUGAGC
ensembl:lncRNA FAM182A family with sequence similarity 182 member A